ACUUUAGAUAUGAUCCAGAGUACCACGGGACACGUGAAACCCUGUGGGAAGCAGGAGGGACCACCCUCCAAGGCUAAAUACUACCUAGUGACCGAUAGCGUAUAGUACCGUGAGGGAAAGGUGAAAAGAACCCCGGGAGGGGAGUGAAAUAGAACCUGAAACCCUGCACUUACAAGCUGUGGAAGCACAUUUCUUGUGUGACCGCGUACUUUUUGUAGAACGGGCCAACGAGUUACGUUAAGUAGCAAGGUUAAGCACUUAAGGUGCGGAGCCGUAGCGAAAGCGAGUUUUAACUGAGCGUUCAGUUACUUGACGUAGACCCGAAACCGGGCGACCUACCCAUGAGCAGGAUGAAGCGAAAGUAAAAUUUCGUGGAGGUCCGAACCCACGAGCGUUGAAAAGCUCGGGGAUGACUUGUGGGUAGCGGUGAAAUUCCAAUCGAGCCCGGAGAUAGCUGGUUCUCCCCGAAAUAGCUUUAGGGCUAGCCUCAAGGUGAGAGAUACGGAGGUAGAGCACUGAAUGUCCUAGGGGGUAUUGCACCUACCGAAGACUAUCAAACUCCGAAUGCCGUCAUCUUAUACUUGGGAGUCAGACUGUGGGUGAUAAGAUUCAUAGUCGAAAGGGCAACAGCCCAGAUCGUCAGCUAAGGUCCCUAAAUGUAAGUUAAGUGGUAAAGGAUGUGGGAUUGCACAGACAACCAGGAUGUUGGCUUAGAAGCAGCCACUCAUUCAAAGAGUGCGUAAUAGCUCACUGGUCGAGUGAUCCUGCGCCGAAGAUUUCCGGGGCUAAAACUUACUACCGAAGCUACGGCAUCAGUAAUGAUGGGUAGGGGAGCUUCCCAUACGGGUUGAAGCAUGACCGUAAGGACAUGUGGACAGUAUGGGAGUGAGAAUGUUGGCAUGAGUAGCGAGAUGUGGGUGAGAAUCCCACAGGCCGUAAACCCAAGGUUUCCAGGGGAAGGUUCGUCCGCCCUGGGUUAGUCGGGACCUAAGCUGAGGCCGAAAGGCGUAGGUGAUGGACAACAGGUUGAUAUUCCUGUAC
rnacentral:rRNA from 1 species